rnacentral:rRNA from 1 species
GAUGAACGUUGGCGGUGCGCCUAAUACAUGCAAGUCGAACGGAGACUGUAGCAAUACUGUCUUAGUGGCGAACGGGUGAGUAACGCGUUGGUGAUCUGCCUCGAAGUGUGGAAUAACGUUCCGAAAGGAGCACUAAUACCGCAUGGUCUUCUGGUUUUUAGAACGCCAGAUGUAAAGGAUUUAUUCGCUUCGAGAGGAGCCUGCGUCCCAUCAGCUAGUUGGUAAGGUAAUGGCUUACCAAGGCGAUGACGGGUAGGGGACCUGAGAGGGUGGCCCCCCACAAUGGAACUGAAACACGGUCCAUACACCUACGGGUGGCAGCAGUAGGGAAUAUUAGUAAUGGGCGAAAGCCUGAACUAGCGACACCGCGUGUGCGAAGAAGGCCUUCGGGUUGUAAAGCACUUUUAGAGAGGAUGAGGAAGGACGGGUACUCUCUGAAUAAGUCUCGGCUAACUACGUG